UUAAAAGGCAAAGCACGCGAAAGCGUGUGGCGCAAAGCCAUGAGUCUAACGCCAUAAGGGCUAUGAUCGUCAGGUUGC
rnacentral:ncRNA from 1 species